rnacentral:rRNA from 1 species
UACAGAGGGUGCAAGCGUUAUUCGGAAUCACUGGGCGUAAAGAGUUCGUAGGCGGUUUAUCAAGUCUGAUGUGAAAUCCCCGGGCCCAAUCCGGGACGUGCAUUGGAAACUGAUGAGCUAGAGUGCGGGAGGGGAGAGUGGAAUUCCAGGUGUAGAGGUGAAAUUCGUAGAUAUCUGGAGGAACAACGGAAGCGAAAGCGACUCUCUGGACCGUUACUGACGCUGAGGAACGAAAGCGUGGGGAGCAAACAGG